ensembl:snRNA U6 U6 spliceosomal RNA
GUGCUCACUUCAGCAGCACAAAGACUACAAUUGGAAUGAUACAGAUUAGAUUAGCAUGGUCCCCGCAUAAGGAUGACACGCAAAUCUGUGAAGCCUUCCAUAUUUAA